rnacentral:rRNA from 1 species
UGGGGAAUAUUGGACAAUGGGCGAAAGCCUGAUCCAGCCAUGCCGCAUGAGUGAAGAAGGCCUUUGGGUUGUAAAGCUCUUUUAGUGAGGAAGAUAAUGACGGUACUCACAGAAGAAGUCCUGGCUAACUCCGUGCCAGCAGCCGCGGUAAUACGGAGAGGGCUAGCGUUAUUCGGAAUUAUUGGGCGUAAAGGGCGCGUAGGCUGGUUAAUAAGUUAAAAGUGAAAUCCCGAGGCUUAACCUUGGAGUUGCUUUUAAAACUAUUAAUCUAGAGAUUGAAAGAGGAUAGAGGAAUUCCUGAUGUAGAGGUAAAAUUCGUAAAUAUUAGGAGGAACACCAGUGGCGAAGGCGUCUAUCUGGUUCAAAUCUGACGCUGAAGCGCGAAGGCGUGGGGAGCAAACA